rnacentral:lncRNA from 1 species
AUAAAUAUUUCAAAGCAAUAACUCGAUGCAUAAAUUUUUGACAAACAACUUUUAUUUAUUUUUAACUCAUAAGAGGAAAAUAUUAGAAGAAAAAAAUAAAAUAUAACCAAACGAUCAAUAGAUAUAACAAUUAUAAAACCACAAAAGCAACAAUAGUUAACGAGGAAGUCGAAUCUGUUUGGUCGGAACCGAAGGUGAUGAAAUAUUAAAUAAAGUAUAUAUUUAAUAAAAUUUUGCAAAAUUUAUUGUGAUAAAUCAAUCUUUUAAUAAAAAUACCCGAUGUCCUUGGAUUGAAAAUUGUUAUGUUCCGACAUUCCACUUAUAAGGUAAAGAAAUUAGGUAUUUUCUUCUCUCUAAACUUCAGAAGCACAAAGUCGGAAAUCAAUUUACAAGGAAAUUAUGGUGGACGUAAAAAUUAUCACCAAUAUUCACCACGAA